rnacentral:rRNA from 1 species
UACGUAGGGUGCAAGCGUUGUCCGGAAUUAUUGGGCGUAAAGGGUUCGUAGGCGGCCAACUAAGUCAUACGUGAAAUCCCUCGGCUUAACCGGGGAACUGCGUCUGAUACUGGAUGGCUUGAGUUCGGGAGAGGGAUGCGGAAUUCCAGGUGUAGCGGUGAAAUGCGUAGAUAUCUGGAGGAACACCGGUGGCGAAGGCGGCAUCCUGGACCGAUACUGACGCUGAGGAGCGAAAGCCAGGGGAGCAAACGGG